ACAAAACUAAUUCUUUAAUUAAUUAUUAAUUGAUAUAAUCUUUUUUAAUUUUCUUUUUCUUGUUCCUCCUCUUGUCUUUAAUGUAUUACUAUAGUACAACUUAAACCCAAAAUUAUCAAACAAUCACAAUUCAUAAUAGUUGAUUAAUUAAAGUCUAAAAAACAGUCUAUUGCUAAAACACCAUGAAAGUCACUGAAUCCAUUUCCAAAAUAUAUAUAGUAUGAAGUAUGAACAAAGUAAUCUUGAAUUAGACAAGGUUACAAAAGAUUGCAAAUCAAAACGAAAUUUUCAUGUCCUCGUCCUACAGAAGAAGAAAAAAAAACAGAAAAGUUAAAGGUUAGAAAGAGAUGAUAAAUAAUGAAGAUUAUGAAUUAAAAAGAAACCAGAAAGAGCGAAAGCAUUGAAAGAAUUUCCAGAAGUAGUUUUUUUUCUUCUUCUUCUUCAAAGCUCUGUGUUCUUGUGCUCUUCUCAUUGACUCAAAAACAUCUUGUUUAUAAAUGAACUCAUUCAUUUCUUCACAAUCAUCGUUGCCAUAAAAUACGUCUCCCAUAACUUUAUUAAUCUGAUGAUCAGAAUUUUUUAUAAUUCAAACUCAACCUAAUAGCUUUCGUUUUGGUUUACAUUAUUAUUUUAAUAUUGUGUAAAAUUUGUGUCUUUCUGUUUCUAUAUAUAAGAUGCCACUUUGGUCAAAAAGUUAAAUAAUACUAAGAUAAUACUAAG
rnacentral:lncRNA from 1 species